rnacentral:pre_miRNA from 14 species
ACCUAAUGAAAUGAAAGACCCCCGGAGCGGGGAAACCCUCACUCAAGUCUCGGGAUGAUGCAACCACCCAAGAACUCACAUGAGACC